CCUACGGGAGGCAGCAGUGAGGAAUAUUGGUCAAUGGGCGAGAGCCUGAACCAGCCAAGUCGCGUGAGGGAGUACUGCCCUAUGGGUUGUAAACCUCUUUUGUCGGGGAGCAAAAGCCGGACGUGUCCGGCUGUGAGAGUACCCGAAGAAAAAGCAUCGGCUAACUCCGUGCCAGCAGCCGCGGUAAUACGGAGGAUGCGAGCGUUAUCCGGUUUUAUUGGGGUUAAAGGGGGCGCAGGCGGAUUUUUAAGUCAGCGGUCAAAUCGUGGGGCUCAACCCCAUCCAGCCGUUGAAACUGGGGAUCUAGAGUGUGCGAGAGGUAUGCGGAAUGCGGGGUGUAGCGGUGAAAUGCAUAGAUAUCACGCAGAACCCCGAUUGCGAAGGCAGCAUACCGGUGCACAACUGACGCUCAGGCACGAAAGCGUGGGUAUCGAACAGGAUUAGAUACCCCAGUAGUC
rnacentral:rRNA from 1 species